GGGACUCAGCACUGGGGGAACCCGGAGUUUCAGCCAGGGUCCCAGGGCUUCCUUCCCGGGUUCCUGACGGAAAACUUUUCUCCUCCGCCCGGAAGCCUCGAUGGGGCAGUGAGAACGCGGGGCGAGCCUGUCCUGCUCCGGCCUGCCCUGUGCUCAGGAAGCUGGUGGUCCCCCUCAGUGGAUCUUCACCCACAGGGACACCUGCUGCAGACCAGGAACAUAAAGAGGAAAUGCUCCUUUUUCCCUGGUGGAUGUUGCAUUCCCUGUCUGGAUGCAAUGCCUGGUGCUCCGCAGUCCUUUGCACCCACGAGAGAAGGUGGCCGGAAGAGCAUCUUCACCCUGGGGUGGCCGCCUGGGAAGAUGAGAAGAGCAGAAGUCCUUGGUGGCACAAUCAGGCAAUUCACCAAAAUCCUGCUGCCCUCACCUGGAAUUUCCUGCUAUGAGAGACAUCUCCGUUUAAACCACAUGAGCUGGAUUUUCUGUUUCUAACACAUGUCAGCAUCUUCACGUGAGUUCAAAAGUGAAACGAAUGCCAAAAACUCCAGGGCCUGCAAGUUUCUUCCUUCACAUCCAAGCAGAAGGAGAGACUUCACAGUGAUGGACCAGCUAAGUCAUAUGGCCACUCCUGCCCAGUCUGUCACGCGAGUAGCAGAGUCCCUGAGAUGAUCGGCUUAGGCCCGAGGUCGGUGCACAUCACCAAACUGGUAAGUGUCCAAGGGGAAUGAAAUUGUCUUCGCCUCAAGUAACCAGGACCUACCCCUGACCCACUGCGAGCACAGCUGCUUCACAGUGCUGGAGGGAUGGGAUGAAUGAGGAGGAAGCAACAGCUAGGAGGCCAACCUCAAGACUUGAAAUUGUGGGUUUGCAAAUGGGUGCUUCAGGUGACACCCUGGCCACACCCUCACCUACACACAGACUCAUAAACACCUAUCCUGCAUUCCUCCCUCCACCUUUCUUUCCAAAGAAAUCUUGGAUUCUUUGGCCCCUAAGUGAAAAAAACUGGGGGGAAAUAAGGGAGUGGGGACAAAAAAAUGAGGUCUUCCUGUAAAGACAGUUCAGAAGAAUUAUUGCACCGAAACCUGAAAUGACAAACCUAAAGCCAGAGCCAGCUGCUGUAGACACAGAUCCAGGAAGUGUGAAUCAUUAAUGAGUGUCAUUUUGGUGCUAGAAAGAGCUAUUACCUGAGGGCAGUGACUCAAGCUGGGCCUCCGAGGGCAAACAGCCUUGCUCCUCCAAGUUACUGGCCCAUGCUGUGCACACGCGUGUCUUCAGUUGCUAUCCCCACAGGUUCAGAAUUACCUAGGUGACCACCUCCCCAGGGAUUGGUCCUAAAGUUUUUUUUUCCUUUGAGACAGGGUCUUGCUCCGUCUCCCAGGCUGGAGUGCAAUGGUGUGAUCCAGGCUCAUCACAACC